rnacentral:rRNA from 1 species
GAGAUGUUGGGUUAAGUCCCGCACGAGCGCAACCCUUGCCUUUAGUUGCCAGCAGUUCGGCUGGGCACUCUAAAGGGACUGCCGGUGUUAAACCGGAGGAAGGUGGGGAUGACGUCAAGUCCUCAUGGCCUUUAUGACCAGGGCUACACACGUACUACAAUGGCCGAUACAAAGGGCAGCGACACUGCGAGGUGAAGCCAAUCCCGUAAAAUCGGUCUCAGUCCGGAUUGGAGUCUGCAACUCGACUCCAUGAAGUUGGAAUCGCUAGUAAUCGUGGAUCAGCAUGCCACGGUGAAUACGUUCCCGGGCCUU